rnacentral:rRNA from 1 species
ACGGGGGGUGAGUACAAAGGGAUGCGAAACCGUUAGGUGGAGCAAAUCCAAUAAAGCUCGUCUAAGUUGGGAUUGAAGUCUGCAACUCGACUUCAUGAACCUGAAAUCGCUAGUAAUCGUAUAUCAGAAUGAUACGGUGAAUACGUUCCCGGACCUUGUACACACCCCCCG